GACCGUGUAGCUCAGUUGGAAGAGCAUUGGGCUAGUAUUCCUAAGGUCGUAGGUUCGAAUCCUACCGUGGCCG
rnacentral:tRNA from 1 species